GAAAAAUUUUCCUACAAAGAUGAGGUUGCAUUUGAAUGCCUGAAGGGUUUCUACCUUAAUGGCAGCAACCCAGUGUUCUGUGGUGGAAACAGUACUUGGGAGCCUGAGAUGCCCACAUGUAUUAAAGGUUUCAAGCCUACUCAUCCAACCAAACCUCCACUUUCAAGAUAUCCAGGAUAUCCCAAGCCUCUUGAAUCACCACCAAUUGAAGAG